rnacentral:misc_RNA from 1 species
UUAACUAUUAUAUAGUACUCAGACGACACUAAACAAAACGAGUUUGGGUCCUCUGGCAGGCGCAGUCAGCCGGAGCCGACGCCUAAAAGGCGGCCUGCCAAAGCAACAAAGGUAUGUAGACACGGUUUGGGAAUUACCCAUUUCAAAAAACGGGGCGUUCUUUAAUGAUCCUUCCGCAGGUUCACCUACGGAAA